CUCCUCAGCUCGCCGGGACGAGGAGCUUUUUCCUUCCUCCUCCUCUUCCUCCAUGGUAGCACCUACGUCUGCGCCUCCGGCUUGGAGUUGCAAUUUCUGAGCGGUUUUGUCCGGAAGACUGUGCUCAGGUUAUGACGACUAAUCCCAAACCGAACAAGGCAUUAAAGGUAGGGAAGAAGGGAAGGAUGGGGUGAUGCUGGGGGGCAGGGGAGGCUGUCACAGGCCUUUGUGGCGUCAGUCGUACGGGUCCCAGAGACUCUUACACAUGGGUGUCUCUAGGAUUUCCCACUAUCUACAGGAAGGGUUAGGGUUGAAGAAUACUGGCAAUACCCAAAAAAAGUCUCUGGGAUGGGGUUGGAAGGUGGCGUGUCCCAUUUGCUAUCUAAGAGACUUUUGACUACAGCAGGGAUUGGCAGCAUCCUGAAACCAGCGCUCCCAGGCCUGUUGAUGAAGUACUUCUGCUCUCAGGACUGGGAGGCCCUGGGGAAAGGAGGUGUCGAGGUGGUGUCUCUCAGAUCUGUGAGACUGUAAAUGCUUCAGACACACUGGCUUGGUGGUGGUCUGCCCAUGGGGUUGUGGACAUGUUGCCUUUCCAGUGUCCUAGCUCUUCGUUCCAGGUGUCCCACAGUCUCUGAAGAGACAAAAGGCUGAUGGCUUAAAGGUUCUGCCCUCGAUCUUGAAGGCCUUUUCCAACCUGAAUGAUUGUAUGGUUCUGAAAUGAAUUGGGGGAGCCAAGCUGCCUGAGAAAAGGGCACAAGGCCUUGGUGUCUUUCUCGUGUAACUUCAGAGUCUGGCCUGUGCACCAGGGACACUGAGCCGGGCUGUGCUCCUUGAGGCCGAGCGGGGUUGGUUUAGAUCAC